GUGGGGAAUAUUGGACAAUGGGGGGAACCCUGAUCCAGCCAUGCCGCGUGUGUGAAGAAGGCCUUUUGGUUGUAAAGCACUUUAAGCGAGGAGGAGGCUACUCUAGUUAAUACCUAGGGAUAGUGGACGUUACUCGCAGAAUAAGCACCGGCUAACUCUGUGCCAGCAGCCGCGGUAAUACAGAGGGUGCGAGCGUUAAUCGGAUUUACUGGGCGUAAAGCGUGCGUAGGCGGCUUUUUAAGUCGGAUGUGAAAUCCCUGAGCUUAACUUAGGAAUUGCAUUCGAUACUGGGAGGCUAGAGUAUGGGAGAGGAUGGUAGAAUUCCAGGUGUAGCGGUGAAAUGCGUAGAGAUCUGGAGGAAUACCGAUGGCGAAGGCAGCCAUCUGGCCUAAUACUGACGCUGAGGUACGAAAGCAUGGGGAGCAAACAGGAUUAGAAACCCUAGUAGUCC
rnacentral:rRNA from 1 species